GACGAACGCUGGCGGCGUGCCUAAUACAUGCAAGUCGAACGCAGUGGGGACGGGUGAGUAACACGCGCGUAACCUCCCAUCAGAGGGGACAACACUUGGAAACUGGUGCUAAAUUGAUAUUGAUGGAUGGACGCGCGGGGCAUUAGCUAGUUUGUGGGGUAACGGCUCACCAAGGCCACGAUGCAUAGCCGACCGGGGCGGGUGAUCGGCGACACUGGAGCUGAAACACGGCCCAUGCUCCUACGUGAGGCAGCAGUAGGGAAUCUUCGGCAAUGGACGAAAGUCUGACCGAGCAACGCCGCGUGAGUGAAGAAGGUUUUCGGAUCGUAAAACUCUGUUGUUAGAGAAGCGGUAUCUAACCAGAAAGCAACGGCUAACUACGUGCCAGCCGCCGCGGUAAUUC
rnacentral:rRNA from 1 species